rnacentral:rRNA from 1 species
UACGGGGGGAGCAAGCGUUGUUCGGAUUUACUGGGCGUAAAGGGCGCGUAGGCGGCCAGCACAAGUCACUUGUGAAAUCUCUGAGCUUAACUCAGAACGGCCAAGUGAUACUGCAGUGCUAGAGUGCAGAAGGGGCAAUCGGAAUUCUUGGUGUAGCGGUGAAAUGCGUAGAUAUCAAGAGGAACACCUGAGGUGAAGACGGGUUGCUAGGCUGACACUGACGCUGAGGCGCGAAAGCCAGGGGAGCAAACAGG